AGAGUUUGAUCCUGGCUCAGGAUGAACGCUGGCGGCGUGCCUAACACAUGCAAGUCGAACGAGCACUUCGGUGCGAGUGGCGGACGGGUGAGUAACGCGUGGAUAACCUGCCUUAUACAGGGGGAUAACAGCGGGAAACUGCUGUUAAUACCGCAUAAGCGCACAGUACCGCAUGGUACAGUGUGAAAAGCUCCGGCGGUAUAAGAUGGAUCCGCGUCUGAUUAGCCAGUUGGCGGGGUAACGGCCCACCACAGCGACGAUCAGUAGCCGACUUGAGAGAGUGACCGGCCACAUUGGGACUGACACACGGCCCAAACUCCUACGGGAGGCCGCAGUGGGGAAUAUUGCACAAUGGGGGAAACCCUGAUGCAGCGACCCCGCGUGACUGAAGACGUAUUUCGGUAUGUAAAGCUCUAUCAGCAGGGAAGAAAAUGACGGUACCUGACUAAGAAGCCCCGGCUAAAUACGUGCCAGCAGCCGCGGUAAUACGUAUGGGGCAAGCGUUAUCCGGAUUUACUGGGUGUAAAGGGAGCGCAGGCGGCAAGGCAAGUCAGAAGUGAAAACCCGGGGCUCAACCCCGUGAUUGCUUUUGAGACUGUUUAGCUGGAGUGCAGGAGGGGCAAGCGGAAUGGGUAGUGUAAUGCGAGAUGAGAAGAGCGUAGAGUAUUAGGUAAGAACAGUGGUGGGGAAUGGUGUGCUUAGUGGACUGGUGACUGAACGCUUAGUGUGGAAGAGAAUGGGGAGCAAAAAAGAUAUAGAAUACGCUGAGUAGGAACGGUGGUGAAGGAUGGUUAGUGAAUGUUGGCAUUAAAAGGAUAUCGGUGUUGGCAAGCAAACGCAAGAAGUAUUCCACGUGGGGAGAGCGUUCGCAAGAAUGAAACUCAAAGGAAUUGACGGGGACCCGCACAAGCGGUGGAGCAUGUGGUUUAAUUGGAAGCAACGCGAAGAACCUUACCAAAUCUUGACAUCCCUCUGACAGUAUGUGUAAUGCAUAUUUCCUUCGGGACAGAGGAGACAGGUGGUGCAUGGUUGUCGUCAGCUCGUGUCGUGAGAUGUUGGGUUAAGUCCCGCAACGAGCGCAACCCUUAUCCUAAGUAGCCAGCAGUAAGAUGGGCACUCUUGGGAGACUGCCCGGGAUAACCGGGAGGAAGGCGGGGAUGACGUCAAAUCAUCAUGCCCCUUAUGAUUUGGGCUACACACGUGCUACAAUGGCGUAAACAAAGAGAAGCGAGGCAGUGAUGCGGAGCAAAUCUCAAAAAUAACGUCUCAGUUCGGAUUGUAGUCUGCAACUCGACUACAUGAAGCUGGAAUCGCUAGUAAUCGCGAAUCAGCAUGUCGCGGUGAAUACGUUCCCGGGUCUUGUACACACCGCCCGUCACACCAUGGGAGUCGAAAAUGCCCGAAGUCAGUGACCCAACCGCAAGGAGGGAGCUGCCGAAGGCAGGUUCGGUAACUGGGGUG
rnacentral:rRNA from 1 species